CUCCUCCCGCUCCCCGUGCCGAGCCCGGCGCGGCCCGUGCCCCCCACAGCCGCCGGGCCGCCCCUCAGGCGGGCGCAGCUCCGCCCGCGCGUCGCUGCCGCGCUUGGCACGAACGGGAGAUCCGCACGGGGCUCGGCUGCCUGUGGGAUAUGGGGCACCUAAAAGAUACAGCUGUAGCUAGGUUGAUGUGGGGUAGAUAGGUAUCUAACUAGUUGUACUUAGCAGUGAUGUCCUUAAAUAACCCGCGACCGAUUGGAUAUAAACGCUACGCAUUUUCCAUUAGCGUGGUUUUGUCGGUUGUUGCUUAGAAAUACGCUCACGAGCAAAGUGCUGUCUGAAAACUAAGAUAAAAAGGUCUUAGCUUUCAGGUAGAGCUGUUUUAACUUGUACGUAUACAAAUAGAUAGAUUGCAUUGGAUGGGGGACUUCAGAACCACCUCGGUUUUCCUGCCUUAAGUGUUUUCUUCAAAGAGCAGGGUCUUGAACACAUAGUUAUUUAUGUUCUGUCCGUAGGAUAAUUCAUAACUAAAUAAAUUCCAUUGUUGAAUUGUAAAUUUUUGAACUGAACCAGAAUUCUAGUAAGGAACUUCCUGAAAAAAAAAACAAAAACAAAAAACAAACAAAACAAAACCAAACAAAAACAAAAAAACCACAAAAAACAAACAAGCAAAACCAACAAAAACAAACAAACAAACAAACAAACAAAAAACCCCACCCCACCACCACACACAAAACCUAAAAAAAACCCAAACCAGAUUGAAUGUUUUAGUUAACAACUGGGCAAUAAAUGUUUUGGGUUGAGGGUUAAUGGGUUAGGUUGCUGUCAUUCCCGUUCUUUCAUUGGUCCAAAUGCUUGCACAAAUUCUAGACGCUUCUUGCUAAGUAUCUCAUCAUUGCAGAGGGAAUAUAAAUAAGGGGUUCAGCUUAUGGACAAGAAUGGAAAAAAAUAAGUAUUUUGACUUAUCACAGCAUAAUUCUAGAAUCUAUUCUGGUUUUUGAUACAUGGCCAAUACCUCAGCAUACAAAGACUGGUUUUUGGCCCAUUCACCCACUUGCCCUCUUUGUAUUUUCUUUUUACACAAUAAAAAAGAAAUGUGUUCAACUGUCAGCACCAUAGGCUCAUAAAGCAUCUCAAAGUCAAACUUGUGAUUCUUCCAGUUCAUACAUCUUCUUCAAAGACUAAUUUUGUAGGCUAUGUUUUAUUCUGAGUUUCUUGCAGUUCCAAAUUUUGCCCACUGUCCUGAUUUUUUUUUUUUUUUUUUUUUUUUUUUUUUUUUUUUUUUUUUU